rnacentral:rRNA from 1 species
UGGGCCGACAGAGUUUGAUCCUGGCUCAGAGCGAACGCUGGCGGCAGGCCUAACACAUGCAAGUCGAGCGCCGUAGCAAUACGGAGCGGCAGACGGGUGAGUAACGCGUGGGAACGUGCCCUUCGGUUCGGAAUAACUCAGGGAAACUUGGGCUAAUACCGGAUACGUCCGAAAGGAGAAAGAUUUAUCGCCGAAGGAUCGGCCCGCGUAAGAUUAGCUAGUUGGUGAGGUAACGGCUCACCAAGGCUCUGAUCUUUAGCUGGUCUGAGAGGACGAUCAGCCACACUGGGACUGAGACACGGCCCAGACUCCUACGGGAGGCAGCAGUGGGGAAUAUUGGACAAUGGGCGCAAGCCUGAUCCAGCCAUGCCGCGUGAGUGAUGAAGGCCUUAGGGUUGUAAAGCUCUUUUGGCAGGGACGAUAAUGACUGUACCUGCAGAAUAAGCCCCGGCCAACUUCGUGCCAGCAGCCGCGGUAAUA